GCUUCGGUAGUGCAACGGUUCAGCACGAGCUCGCGGAAGAGUGAAGUCUGGGUUCGAAUCCCAGCUGACGCA